AUCCUACCAUAAAACAAAUUUAAGCGAUUAUGUAAAGACCAACGGAUUUAACGACACAUUACAUUGAUCUUAUUUCAGAAAGCAUAUACCGAUCACUUUUCAAUGAUUCCCGAAUGACACCACCAUAGCAGUGAAAUAACAGGGCAUGAAUAUAACAAUAAAAUUCAUAACAUCAUAUAGACUAAGGAAAAAAAAGUGAAAAUGCA
rnacentral:lncRNA from 1 species